CUGCUUUUCGUCCAACAUCUUCUCAGGUAGCAGUGAGGUCCGGGGCUCCUCGAGUUUCACAGUGCUGCCCAAGGAUGACAAGAAGAAAGAUACUGUGAAGUCUGCCAAGAAAGACAAAGACCUAGUGAACAAAUCUGGGGGCAAGGCCAAAAAGAAGAAUGAUGCUGGGAAA